CUGAGAAGCUUUUAUACACAGCCUUCCCAAUCUGCCUUGCAAGUCUCCCCAUUUUCAGGAAGCUCCGGACUUCAAAGCCAAGGGACAACACACCCCGCCAAGCCACUGCCCCACUCCGGGCCUCAGUUUCCUGCAAAAGACGGGGUUGUGCUGCCCCAGCUACGAAGCUCCUGGACCAGUCUGUUCUCACGAUGCUUCCUCCAGGACCCUACUGCUUCUUGCUUGCUCUGGGACGCCCACUGAAAGGCCCUUCCCAAGACUGCCAUGAAUUCACUUGUCGGGUACUAUUGAGCAAGUCGGUAGCAAUAGGCAACCCAGAUUUUUUUUUUCCCCAGAUGGACAAACGGAGAUCCGGAGCACUUUCACACACUGCAGAGGAGGGCGAGCGGAUCCUUGAUGUUUGCUUUGUAUAUUGGGAUUCUGGGAAAGAUUUCCUUUGAAACAAGGAUCUGAAAACCACAUAGACCAGAGGACUUUCCCUAGCCCCCUUCCCAGGGUUGACAUUUUCUGUGAGCGGUGAUAGAACCCUGAGUACCGAGCUGAAAGGAUAGAAAAGAAUUCCUGUGUUGGCGCUCCCGCCCCACUCUCCCCUGGAGGCUGAGCUGCUGGGAUCAAAGGGGCUGAAGUGGGUGCCACUCCAUGGAAUUAAGAUCUGAGAUGCCGGAUAAACCCAGCCGCCACUUCUGGGUCCUCCUCCCACCUCCCGUCACCUAGGCAACCGGGAGGGGCCUUGGGAGCCUGUUCCUCGGUCCCCGCCCCUCGCCACCCACUCAGCCGCCCAAGCUCACGUUCCUAUCCCACUCUGCCCACAGCUUUUCUAAAUCUCAGCUUCUCGAGAGUUCCAUCCCCUCAGCUCUCUUUUCUGAACAUGGAAAACAGAUUCCAAGCGAGGGGCCCCGACUCGCUAAAAUGACCCCAGUUUGCAUGAAGAAUUUGCCUGUCUUCCUGGCAGGAGCGACCUCGAAGGAACAACGUGUCCAGAGCUCCGAGAGAUCUAAGACAAGUUUCCUGCUGGAAAGGCACAGGGCAGUCAGCCUGAACUGGGUCACGGGGCCUUCUAGAAUACCCCACCCAGCAAGGCGGCAGGACAGAAGGCAGCGGGUGGCCUGAUAAGGGCGAGGAGUUUCUCCUCGCAGAAGUCAGGGCCAGAAAAUCCUGGGAGUUAUUUUUCUGUGGAAAAAAAAAAUUAAGAUUUA